GAGUUUGAUCAUGGCUCAGAACGAACGCUGGCGGCAUGCCUAACACAUGCAAGUCGAACGUGAUCCGCCUCUUCGGGGGCGGUGAAAGUGGCGGACGGGUGAGUAACGCGUGGGAACCUGCCUGGUGGUCGGGGAUAACCGCGGGAAACUGCGGCUAAUACCCGAUGAGCCCAAGGAGUGAUCCGUGGGGAAAGAUUGAUCGCCAUUGGAGGGGCCCGCGUCGGAUUAGGUAGUUGGUGGGGUAACGGCCUACCAAGCCUGCGAUCCGUAGCUGGUCUGAGAGGAUGAUCAGCCACACUGGGACUGAGAUACGGCCCAGACUCCUACGGGAGGCAGCAGUGGGGAAUAUUGGACAAUGGGCGCAAGCCUGAUCCAGCAAUGCCGCGUGAGUGAAGAAGGCCUUAGGGUUGUAAAGCUCUUUCGGCGGGGACGAUGAUGACGGUACCCGCAGAAGAAGCCCCGGCUAACUCCGUGCCAGCAGCCGCAGU
rnacentral:rRNA from 1 species